UACGAAGGGGGCUAGCGUUGCUCGAAAUCACUGGGCUUAAAGGGCGCGUAGGCGGGCCCGCAAGUCAGGGGUGAAAUCCCACGGCUCAACCGUGGAAGUGCCUUUGAUACUGUGGGUCUUGAGGGAGGUAGGGGCGUGCGGAACUUCCGGUGGAGCGGUGAAAUGCGUAGAUAUCGGAAGGAACACCGGUGGCGAAAGCGGCGCGCUGGACCUCUUCUGACGCUGAGGCGCGAAAGCCAGGGGAGCAAACGGG
rnacentral:rRNA from 1 species